rnacentral:rRNA from 1 species
GUCUUGUAAUUGGAAUGAUGGUGACCUAAACCCUCACCAGAGUAACAAUUGGAGGGCAAGUCUGGUGCCAGCAGCCGCGGUAAUUCCAGCUCCAAUAGCGUAUAUUAAACUUGUUGCAGUUAAAAAGCUCGUAGUUGAAUCUCUGCGUUAUCGAGUUAUUGACUCUUGUCUUUAAUCGAUUUCGCUUUUGGGAUUUAUCCCUUUUUACUUUGAGAAAAUUAGAGUGUUUCAAGCAGACUUUUGUCUUGAAUACUUCAGCAUGGAAUAAUAGAGUAGGACUUUGGUUCUAUUUUGUUGGUUUUUGAACCUUAGUAAUGGUUAAUAGGAACGGUUGGGGGCAUUCGUAUUUAACUGUCAGAGGUGAAAUUCUUAGAUUUGUUAAAGACGAACUACUGCGAAAGCAUUUGCCAAGGACGUUUCCAUUAAUCAAGAACGAAAGUUAGGGGAUCGAAGACGAUCAGAUACCGUCGUAGUCCUAACCAUAAAC